rnacentral:rRNA from 1 species
GACGAACGCUGGCGGCGUGCUUAACACAUGCAAGUCGAACGGUGAAGGGACUGGUUUUGCUGGUCCUGGAUGAGUGGCGAACGGGUGAGUAACACGUGAGUAACCUGCCCCCUUCUUCUGGAUAACCGCAUGAAAGUGUGGCUAAUACGGGAUAUUCUGGGUCUGUCGCAUGGUGGGCCUGGGAAAGAUUGCGCCUUUUUUGGUGUUUUUGGUGGGGGAUGGGCUCGCGGCCUAUCAGCUUGUUGGUGGGGUGAUGGCCUACCAAGGCGGUGACGGGUAGCCGGCCUGAGAGGGUGGACGGUCACACUGGGACUGAGACACGGCCCAGACUCCUACGGGAGGCAGCAGUGGGGAAUAUUGCACAAUGGGCGCAAGCCUGAUGCAGCGACGCCGCGUGAGGGAUGGAGGCCUUCGGGUUGUGAACCUCUUUCGCCAGUGAAGCAGGCCUGCCUCUUUGUGUGGGUGGGUUGACGGUAGCUGGAUAAGAAGCGCCGGCUAACUACGUG